rnacentral:rRNA from 1 species
AGUGAACGCUGGCGGUAGGCCUAACACAUGCAAGUCGAACGGCAGCACAGUAAGAGCUUGCUCUUACGGGUUGCGAGUGGCGGACGGGUGAGGAAUACAUCGGAAUCUACUUUUUCGUGGGGGAUCACGUAGGGAAACUUACGCUAAUACCGCAUACGACCUACGGGUGAAAGCAGGGGAUCUUCGGACCUUGCUCGAUUGAAUGAGCCGAUGUCGGAUUAGCUAGUUGGCGGGGUAAAGGCCCACCAAGGCGACGAUCCGUAGCUGGUCUGAGAGGAUGAUCAGCCACACUGGAACUGAGACACGGUCCAGACUCCUACGGGAGGCAGCAGUGGGGAAUAUUGGACAAUGGGCGCAAGCCUGAUCCAGCCAUACCGCGUGGGUGAAGAAGGCCUUCGGGUUGUAAAGCCCUUUUGUUGGGAAAGAAAAGCAGCAGGUUAAUACCCCGCUGUUCUGACGGUACCCAAAGAAUAAGCACCGGCUAACUUCGUG